UUACUACUCCCUCCGUCAGAAAACACUUGUCAUCAAAAUGGACAAAAAGGGAUGUAUCUAGAACUAAAAUACAUCUAGAUACAUCCCCUUUUAUUCAUUUUGAUGACAAGUAUUUCCGGACGGAGGGAAUAUUUG
rfam:Triticum aestivum genome assembly, contig: Triticum_aestivum_CS42_TGACv1_scaffold_227024_3B